UCUAGUAUAGCAUUAUACCGUGAAACUGCGAAUGGCUCAUUAAAUCAGUUAUCGUUUAUUUGAUAGUACCUUACUACUUGGAUAACCGUGGUAAUUCUAGAGCUAAUACAUGCUAAAAACCCCAACUUCGGGAGGGGUGUAUUUAUUAGAUAAAAAACCAAUGCCCUUCGGGGCUCCUUGGUGAUUCAUAAUAACUUCUCAGAUCGCAUGGCCUUGCGCCGGCGACGGUUCAUUCAAAUUUCUGCCCUAUCAACUUUCGAUGGUAAGGUAUUGGCUUACCAUGGUUUCAACGGGUAACGGGGAAUUAGGGUUCGAUUCCGGAGAGGGAGCCUGAGAAACGGCUACCACAUCCAAGGAAGGCAGCAGGCGCGCAAAUUACCCAAUCCCGACACGGGGAGGUAGUGACAAUAAAUACUGAUACAGGGCUCUUUAGGGUCUUGUAAUUGGAAUGAGUACAAUUUAAACCUCUUAACGAGGAACAAUUGGAGGGCAAGUCUGGUGCCAGCAGCCGCGGUAAUUCCAGCUCCAAUAGCGUAUAUUAAAGUUGUUGCAGUUAAAAAGCUCGUAGUUGAACCUUUGGCCUGGCUGGCGGGUCCGCCUCACCGCGUGCACUCGUCCGGCCGGGCCUUUUCUUCUGGAGAACCGCAUGCCCUUCACUGGGUGUGUUGGGGACCAGGACUUUUACUUUGAAAAAAUUAGAGUGUUCAAAGCAGGCCUUUGCUCGAAUACGUUAGCAUGGAAUAAUAGAAUAGGACGUGCGGUCCUAUUUUGUUGGUUUCUAGGACCGCCGUAAUGAUUAAUAGGGACAGUCGGGGGCAUCAGUAUUCAAUUGUCAGAGGUGAAAUUCUUGGAUUUAUUGAAGACUAACUACUGCGAAAGCAUUUGCCAAGGAUGUUUUCAUUAAUCAGUGAACGAAAGUUAGGGGAUCGAAGACGAUCAGAUACCGUCGUAGUCUUAACCAUAAACUAUGCCGACUAGGGAUCGGGCGGUGUUACUAUUUUGACCCGCUCGGCACCUUACGAU
rnacentral:rRNA from 1 species